AGGUCCCCUGUGAUGGAGAAGCUGGCACCCUGGGUUUUCGCUGGGAUUUAGGGCGAUUGAGGAAAUGCGCAGGCGCUUAGACGGUUUCCAAUCCACCCCGCUGACCACGCAGGACGCAGCCCGGAUUCUCCGAAAACCACUCUGGCCCGUGACCCCCUGCUCUCCGGGGCAAGCUGACUCUUAACCCAGAGGCGGCAGUGUCUCCGGAUCCCCCAUCCUGGGCUGAGGUCGCCGGAGGCUAGGGUCUGAGAUCCCCCGGGAAAGAAGCUCGAUGGGCUGGUUCAUUAGGGACCCAGCUUGGCGGCAGAUGACGAAACCGGGAAGGGCUUCCGCCUUCAGAAAGCGCAUCCCGUAAAUGAGAUGGCCCAGCGGGAUGGCAAGGGCACACGUUCGGGGAGAUUUGAGACGCUCUUGCAGAUCAUUCCAGCUCCGGAGUGCAGUGGCGGAGCUGGGAGAAAUCGGUCAGACCCCAGCUUCGGAGGCGAUCCCUGGGUUUGGAUCACAC
ensembl:lncRNA